CCGCGCGCGCCCAGGGUUUUUCGCCGAUGCUGCGAGGGGCCGGCGACCUCUGAGUCAAGGGGGAGGCCGACUUGUUGUGUCCAAAGAUGCUUCGCUGCUCGGCUUCUCGGGGCCCAGCCCUGGACCUCAGGUGGCCCUCUGCCCGCCACCCUCGUCACCCUGGAGGCAUCGCUCUGGACUGGACACUGUGUGACCUGACGCACACCUUCCACACUCACGGAGCUCAGAGCCUGGGACGGGAGCAGCUGGACACGGCCAAGGGGUCCCACGCAGCAGCAGGUGGAGAACCGGCUCGGCGAGCUCCUGAAAUGCCGGCAUCCCGCGCCCCCGACCCCGCAGCCCCCACGGACGCAGCCUCCAGGACCCUGGCCCCUGUCAAGUGCCCCUCUCAACCGAGGAGGAACCCCGAGCGGCGGUGGGUGCCUGAGCCCAGGAUGACGAGCAGGCCGGCGGGACCGCGAGUGCCUGGCGGAGGGGCACGUGCAGCCCAGGACUCCCGGCUCCCUCCUCCUGCUUCCAGGGCCGAGGCUCGUGUUCAAUCGGGUGAAUGGCCGGCGGCCCCCUGCCACAUCCCCAUCCCUCGAGGGAUCCCAAGAGACCUACACACUGGCCCACGAGGAGAACGUCCGAUUUGUGUCCGAAGCCUGGCAGCAAGUGGAGCAGCAGCUGGGUGGUGGCCCAGCCGGUGAGAGCGGCCCGAGGCCUGUGCAGUACGUGGAGAGGACCCCCAACCCCCGGCUACAGAACUUUGUGCCCAUCGACCUGGAUGAGUGGUGGGCACAGCAGUUCCUGGCCAGGAUCACCAACUGCUCCUAGCUUCCAAGGAAUGCUGCCUAAGCAGGGCCUGGCCCUGCCCCACACUGGACCCUCUGCCAGGAGAGGACCACGGUGCCCUGCUCACCCACUGUGGCAGGCCAGGCUUCACCCUGGCCCUGGCCAGGCGCCGGCCACACCUGAAGUGCCAGCAUUUGGACUUUUGCACCUGCUGACCCCUCUGUCCAGCUGUUCCAGGCUGCCAGGGGCUGAAACUAUCUGACCUCAGUCCUGCUCACUGUGCCCUGGGCCAGCCCAUGGGGCUGGCAGGGAGGAGCUCCAGGCUAAUAAAAUUGAGAAAACUGCC